AGCAGUAGCGAGAGGGUGCAGGCCAGGCUGGGGGACCCCCCCUUCCCCCCCGAGUGCACAAAUUUCAUGCACCGGGCCCCUAGUAAUGAAUAAUUUACAAUGUCAGUGCCUUAAUGCCACAGAGAUUUAUUUGUCCCUUUUAGCCAAUGUAGUUCUAAGGGACUUUCUAGCAUUAUUGUACCUCCAUGUGAUAACUAUACCAUCCAGGCUAAUGGGUUUUUUGCCACUUAAUUGCACAUCUUAAACAUAUGGUUGUUUCAAACCUGAUUGAUGUAACAUGAGAAGAAAGAAAGUGUGAAGGUCUUGCACAAGCAAUUAAAUACUCCAUUCUAGUGAGAUACAUGGCACUUCAGCCCACAACCCACUGGCCAAACUUGCCACAUGGCCCUGACUGACUUCAUGAUGGAUAGAGAAGUGUAAUUUCCUAUGUGCUUGUAAGGAGAGGAGAACCAGACAUUAAUGAGCAUUAGAAAUCUCUACCACAGAGGUGCAGCCUGAGGUUCUUUCCUUGACUUGCAACUUAUUGUGUCAUAAAAAAGUAACUGAAGCCCUUGGCCAAUGUGGCUAAGUUAGUUGGGUGUCAUCCUGUGCACCAAAGGAUUGCAUUUUUAUCCCCAGUAGGGAGUGUGCAGGAGGCAGCCAAUCUAUGUUUCCUUCUCUCUCCCUCUCCCUUCCUCUCUCUCUAAAUAUCAAUAAAGUAUUUUUUAAAAAAUAAGAGAAAAUAUAUGCUUCUUAGCCAGAGACUACAAGCUGUGGAAGGAGCCAUUUUUCUUUAGAAAAAAACUCCCACUCCUCAAAGAAGGACAUGUAGAAUAACACGUCAUCCUUUUGGGUUUUCACAGGCCAUCACCACAACGUGUUGAAAUGAAAAACAGUUUGUCAGUUAAUUUCAUGUGUCAACUUGGUUAGACUAUGGUAACUAGUUGUUUGGUCAAACAUGAAUUCUAGAUGUUGCUAUGAAGAUCAUUUUCAGAUGUGAUGAAUAUUUACAAUCAGUUAACUUUAAGUAAAGCAGAUUACCCUUCAUGAUGUGAGUGGGCCUCAUCCAAACAGUUGAAGACCUUCAGAGCAAAGACUGAGGUUUCUGAAGGUGAAGUAAAAUCUGCCUCAAGACUGUAAGAUUGACAUUCUGCCUGAGUUUCCAGCCUGCUAUCCUGCCCUACAGAUUUCAGGCUCAAGACUACAACAUCGGCCUUGGCCAGCUCUCUGUAUUCUCCUGUCAUCGUGGUACCCUUAUGGCAUCAUAAUUCACAGGCAUACAGUGCAAUCUUCCAGAUACACUUAGGACCAACAAGUCAAAUUCAGAGGCUGGUUGUGAUAGUGCU